GAGACAGGAUCUCACUCUGUCACCCAGGCUGAAGUGCAACUGUAAAAUAUAAGUGGAUGUUAUCAACUGUACUUCCAUUUACUAUUUUUAUUUAGACUCAACAGAAUUGUUGAAAUUAAUCAAAAAGUCUACCCACACAUUACAUGUAUCACAUCACUAAGAAUAUAUAAUUACACCAGUUAGCUAUGUUGAUAAUCAAAUGUGAUAAAGUAUGUGAAAGCACUAUGUAAAGAGUAAAUGAUGUUAUUUACUUAUUUAAUUCCCACCUUGCUCUACAAAAAGGAUGUGAGAUGAGUUAAUUAUUACUAUUAUUUCUGCAGAGCAGUACUUAUUUUUCUAUUCAUAGUUUUUUUUUCUAUUUCUGAAAAAUUAAAAAUGUACAAGAUUAGUAAUUUUAAAUA
rnacentral:lncRNA from 1 species